UUUAUAAUGAUGAGAAACACAGACCUGAUUUGAUAUACAGUGUGAAAAUAAUUCUACUGCUGAAUAAA